UGAAUACGAGAUGCUACGGCGUCGAAGCAGUCUAUGUCAUACUUCCAAGAAAAGCUUGCACUGUCAUAAACAAAUAAUGCCUGUACCAUAACCGACACAGGUGGGUAGGUAGAGUAUACUAAGGGGCGCGAGAUAACUCUCUCUAAGGAACUCAGCAAAAUGACUCCGUAACUUCGGGAGAAGGAGUGCCUUAUUUAUAAGGUUGCAAUAACAAGAUCCAAGCAACUGUUUACCAAAAACACAGGUCUCCGCUAAGUCGUAAGACGAUGUAUGGGGGCUGACGCCUGCCCAGUGCCAGAAGGUUAAAGAAGUUGGUUAGCAUCCGCGAAGCUGAUAACUGAAGCCCUGGUGAACGGCGGCCGUAACAAUAACGGUCCUAAGGUAGCGAAAUUCCUUGUCGGGUAAGUUCCGACCCGCACGAAAGGCGUAAUGAUUUGGAUACUGUCUCGGAGAGGGGCUCGGUGAAAUAGACUUGUCUGUGAAGAUGCGGACUACCUGCACCAGGACAGAAAGACCCUAUGAAGCUUUACUGUAACCUGAAAUUGAAAUUGGACUUUACUUGCGCAGUAUAGGUGGGAGGCGUUGAGAAUAUUCUUGCGGGAUUAUUGGAGCCAUCAGUGAGAUACCACUCUUGUAAUGUUAGAUUUCUAACUUUGUAUCAUUAUCUGGUCAAAGAACAGUUUCAGGCGGGCAGUUUGACUGGGGCGGUCGCCUCCUAAACGGUAACGGAGGCGCACAAAGGUUUCCUCUGAACGGGUAGAAAUCGUAUCUAGAGUGUAAAGGCAUAAGGAAGCUUGACUGUGAGACCUACAAGUCGAGCAGGGACGAAAGUCGGUCUUAGUGAUCUGACGGUGCUGAGUGGAAAGGCCGUCACUCAACGGAUAAAAGUUACUCUAGGAUAACAGGCUGAUCUCCCCCAAGAGUUCACAUCGACGGGGAGGUUUGGCACCUCGAUGUCGGCUCAUCGCAUCCUGGGGCGGUAGUACGUCCCAAGGGUUGGGCUGUUCGCCCAUGAAAGCGGUACGCGAGCUGGGUUCAGAACGUCGUGAGACAGUUCGGUCCAUAUCCGGUGUAGGCGUUAGAAUAUUGAGAGGAGCCUUCUUUAGUACGAGAGGACCGAGAAGGACAUACCUCUGGUGUACCAAUUAUCGUGCCAACGGUAAACGCUGGGUAGCUAUGUGUGGAGUGGAUAACCGCUGAAAGCAUCUAAGUGGGAAGCCCACCUCAAGAUAAG
rnacentral:rRNA from 1 species